rnacentral:rRNA from 1 species
GACGAACGCUGGCGGCGUGCCUAAUACAUGCAAGUCGAACGAACUCUGGUAUUGAUUGGUGCUUGCAUCAUGAUUUACAUUUGAGUGAGUGGCGAACUGGUGAGUAACACGUGGGAAACCUGCCCAGAAGCGGGGGAUAACACCUGGAAACAGAUGCUAAUACCGCAUAACAACUUGGACCGCAUGGUCCGAGCUUGAAAGAUGGCUUCGGCUAUCACUUUUGGAUGGUCCCGCGGCGUAUUAGCUAGAUGGUGGGGUAACGGCUCACCAUGGCAAUGAUACGUAGCCGACCUGAGAGGGUAAUCGGCCACAUUGGGACUGAGACACGGCCCAAACUCCUACGGGAGGCAGCAGUAGGGAAUCUUCCACAAUGGACGAAAGUCUGAUGGAGCAACGCCGCGUGAGUGAAGAAGGGUUUCGGCUCGUAAAACUCUGUUGUUAAAGAAGAACAUAUCUGAGAGUAACUGUUCAGGUAUUGACGGUAUUUAACCAGAAAGCCACGGCUAACUACGUGCCAGCAGCCGCGGUAAUACGUAGGUGGCAAGCGUUGUCCGGAUUUAUUGGGCGUAAAGCGAGCGCAGGCGGUUUUUUAAGUCUGAUGUGAAAGCCUUCGGCUCAACCGAAGAAGUGCAUCGGAAACUGGGAAACUUGAGUGCAGAAGAGGACAGUGGAACUCCUUGUGUAGCGGUGAAAUGCGUAGAUAUAUGGAAGAACACCAGUGGCGAAGGCGGCUGUCUGGUCUGUAACUGACGCUGAGGCUCGAAAGUAUGGGUAGCAAACAGGAUUAGAUACCCUGGUAGUCCAUACCGUAAACGAUGAAUGCUAAGUGUUGGAGGGUUUCCGCCCUUCAGUGCUGCAGCUAACGCAUUAAGCAUUCCGCCUGGGGAGUACGGCCGCAAGGCUGAAACUCAAAGGAAUUGACGGGGGCCCGCACAAGCGGUGGAGCAUGUGGUUUAAUUCGAAGCUACGCGAAGAACCUUACCAGGUCUUGACAUACUAUGCAAAUCUAAGAGAUUAGACGUUCCCUUCGGGGACAUGGAUACAGGUGGUGCAUGGUUGUCGUCAGCUCGUGUCGUGAGAUGUUGGGUUAAGUCCCGCAACGAGCGCAACCCUUAUUAUCAGUUGCCAGCAUUAAGUUGGGCACUCUGGUGAGACUGCCGGUGACAAACCGGAGGAAGGUGGGGAUGACGUCAAAUCAUCAUGCCCCUUAUGACCUGGGCUACACACGUGCUACAAUGGAUGGUACAACGAGUUGCGAACUCGCGAGAGUAAGCUAAUCUCUUAAAGCCAUUCUCAGUUCGGAUUGUAGGCUGCAACUCGCCUACAUGAAGUCGGAAUCGCUAGUAAUCGCGGAUCAGCAUGCCGCGGUGAAUACGUUCCCGGGCCUUGUACACACCGCCCGUCACACCAUGAGAGUUUGUAACACCCAAAGUCGGUGGGGUAACCUUUUAGGAACCAGCCGCCUAAGGUGGGACAGAUGAUUAGGGUG